rnacentral:rRNA from 1 species
UACGGAGGGGGCUAGCGUUGUUCGGAAUUACUGGGCGUAAAGCGCGCGUAGGCGGCUUUGUAAGUCAGAGGUGAAAUCCCGGGGCUCAACUCCGGAACUGCCUUUGAAACUGCAUCGCUUGAAUCCGGGAGAGGUGAGUGGAAUUCCGAGUGUAGAGGUGAAAUUCGUAGAUAUUCGGAAGAACACCAGUGGCGAAGGCGGCUCACUGGACCGGUAUUGACGCUGAGGUGCGAAAAC